UACGUAGGUGGCAAGCGUUGUCCGGAUUUACUGGGCGUAAAGAGCGCGCAGGCGGUCGUUCAAGUCGCGUGGGAAAGCCCCCGGCUCAACUGGGGAGGGUCACGCGAUACUGAUCGACUCGAAGGCAGGAGAGGGAAGUGGAAUUCCCGGUGUAGUGGUGAAAUGCGUAGAUAUCGGGAGGAACACCUGUGGCGAAGGCGGCCCCCUGGUCGGAUACUGACGCUGAGACGCGAAAGCGUGGGUAGCAAACGGG
rnacentral:rRNA from 1 species